GUGCUCGCGUCGGAGGCACUUAUACUAACGUUGGAACGAUACAGAGAAGGUGAGCAUGGCCCCUGUGCAAGGCUGACACGCAAAUGCGUGAGGCGUUCCCUAUAUCU